GUCCUUUGUUAAAGUGUUCUUUAGCUGGUAUAAAGACGUAUGCACGUGACUAAUUUCUUACUCGAGAUUGGAUAAUUGCUUCAUGAAUUAUUAAUGAGUGUUUGAAGGUUCUAUACAGUUCAAUAGUUCUAUGGUUCAAUAGUUCUAUGGUUACAUGGUUCUACAGUUUUAUGGUUCUACAGUUUUAUGGUUCUAUACAGUUCAAUAGUUCUAUGGUUCAGUAGUUCUAUGGUUACAUGGUUUUACGUUUCUAUGAUUCUAUUUUUCUACAGUAUAGUUAUAUGGUUGUAUGAUCUUUGAUAAUAUAGUUCUAUACUUCUAAAUAGAUCUAUCUAGACACUUCAAAAUCGUACAAAACACGUUUACGUCACGCGUUUACGUCACGUAAUUACUUGCGCUUGAUUGUUUCUAAUUAAGCUAAUUGCUAGUUUCCCGCGCGAGUUCGUUCU